UACAGAGGUGGCAAGCGUUGUUCGGAAUUACUGGGCGUAAAGGGCGUGUAGGCGGUCUUCUAAGUCAGACGUGAAAUCCCCCGGCUUAACCUGGGAACUGCCUUUGAUACUGAAGAUCUUGAGUCCGGGAGAGGUGAGUGGAACUGCGAGUGUAGAGGUGAAAUUCGUAGAUAUUCGCAAGAACACCAGUGGCGAAGGCGGCUCACUGGCCCGGUACUGACGCUGAGGUGCGAAAGCGUGGGGAGCAAACAGG
rnacentral:rRNA from 1 species